rnacentral:piRNA from 1 species
AAUUUCUGAUUUGACGAGGGUGUUCUGU